rnacentral:rRNA from 1 species
UACGGAGGGUGCAAGCGUUAUCCGGAUUCACUGGGUUUAAAGGGUGCGUAGGUGGAGUGGUAAGUCAGUGGGGAAAUCUCCAAGCUUAACUUGGAAACUGCCGUUGAUACUAUCAUUCUUGAAUAUCGUGGAGGUAAGCGGAAUAUGUCAUGUAGCGGUGAAAUGCUUAGAUAUGACAUAGAACACCGAUUGCGAAGGCAGCUUGCUACACGAUCAUUGACACUGAGGCACGAAAGCGUGGGGAUCAAACAGG